rnacentral:rRNA from 1 species
UACGUAGGGUGCAAGCGUUAAUCGGAAUUACUGGGCGUAAAGCGUGCGCAGGCGGCUUUGCAAGACAGAUGUGAAAUCCCCGGGCUCAACCUGGGAACUGCAUUUGUGACUGCAAGGCUGGAGUACGGCAGAGGGGGAUGGAAUUCCGCGUGUAGCAGUGAAAUGCGUAGAUAUGCGGAGGAACACCGAUGGCGAAGGCAAUCCCCUGGGCCUGUACUGACGCUCAUGCACGAAAGCCAGGGGAGCAAACGGG